rnacentral:lncRNA from 1 species
UACAAGUGAUGCUAAGUGCUGUGAGGAAGUUUACAGGGUGACAGGAGAGACAACAAGAGGAGGGACCUACUCAGAGAGGGUGGUAUGGGACAGACUCUCUGUACAGGUGACAUUACGCUAAACCCAGAAGGAUGAGGAGGAGCCAUGCAGAAUGUAGCUGAGCUGGGGAUGCACUCUAGCAAGAAGCGAUGUGACAAAGGCCCUGAGACCUGAAAGGGGCAAUGCUGGAAUGGAAAAUAGGAAUUGGAAAACGGGAGGUGGAUAUGGGACAUGUUGUAGCUGAGGGGCCAGUGGGCACCCAGAAGAAGAUACCAAGGCAGUUCUGGAAACACAGGACUUGAGCUCAGAAGAGAGGAUUGCCUGCAUGGAGGAGAUAAGGGAAGCAAUGCAUUUGGCAGGAUUGCCCAGGGGAGUGAUCUAAGAUACACAGACACAUAAGACAUAGAAGCUGAACCAAAAGAUCCCCGGGGUGUGCAGGGUCAGCCCCGGGAGUCCUCAGCCCCACACCACCCUCUCUGAGUAGGUCCCUCCUCUUGUUGUCUCUCCUGUCACCCUGUAAACUUCCUCACAGCACUUAGCAGCAGCCUGUGAACUGAGGAGCAGAAUUGUGAAUUGAGGUAGUGGAGGACAGAGAGCCUGACAACAGGAGUUCCUGUGGGGAUUUCAAGGCUGAAGAUGAUCAGAGAGGGGGCAACACCAAGGUAGGGAAUGAGAUCAGGUAGCAACAUUCAGUUCACCCCAAAUCAUAUCCAUUGCACAAGAGCAUGGGCAGCCUGGUGCCAGCAAGAGCCAAGGAUGGAGCCUUAGGAAACAAAAGGAGGGAGGGCCUGGGGACAGAUGCUCCCCAGGCUGAAGCGGAUACAGACGGCCCUGCUGGUGAAGAACACAAACCGGAAUUCCCUAUUUCAGCUGUUUUGUAUGAAAGCUAGUGCUGCCCAAGUCAAAAUGCAUGAUGUGUUCAGAGAAAAUGCUGACCUUCUGUUCUCCCACAAGUGAGCUGAGCAGGGAUAGAGAACGGAGUUGCUCUGGAGAAGUCUACAACAAAAUUAAUGGCUCAGAAAGGCUGAGUGUGAUGACAGCUGCUUUUCCUCAGUUUUCUUUCCUGGACUUGAGACACUUUCUUUUCCCGUAAGACUUGCUGGUUGUUGCUAAAGGGCAACACAACACAUGCAAACUUUUAAAUUUGCGAGAAUCAGAAACAGAAAUUCCUCUUUGGAACACUGCUGCAGAUGACGGCAAAGCCAAGAUGCUGUGGGACUCCCUGAAGAGGAGAUGUACCAAAACUCUGCGUCCUUAGAAGACAGCCCACUUCAUGCAGUGUUUUUGGGUAUCCACAGCAGCCUAACAAAAACGGCAGCCGAGGCCUUUCAGUUAAAGCCGCUGAUGCACAGCCCGUAAUUUCCAUAGUCCCUCUAGCUGUAGAAGCUUCUCUCUACACCAACAAUGCAGGUCAAGAAUCUGAACUUAAAUGACUGAUUUUGCCACGUUUUCUACUUUCACUUGGUAAUUCUUACAGAAACCGAAAAAAACAAUUUCACUAAGUGCUUCAUUUAUCUGUAUCUACACGUGGACUUAGGAGGGUCCUCUCAGUACAUAAAAUAUCUUUUUUUUUUUUGGUGAGGAAGAUUGUUGCUGAGCUAACAUCCAUGACAGUCUUCCUCCAUUUUGCACGUGGGUCAGUCGCCACCACAGCACGGCUUGAUGAGCAAUGUGUAGGUCCGUGCCUGGGAUCCAAACUCAUGAACCCUGGGCAACCAAAGUGGAGCACCUAAACUCAACCAUUACGCCACCGGGCAGCCCCAAAAUAUCUUAAAAUUAUAAUACCCUAUUUUAAGCUGAUAACAACUUAACUUCAACAGAAUUCCUAAACUUCACAUUUUUACUUCUCCCUCUCACAUUUUAGGUUAUUAUUGUUACAAUUUACAUAUUUUUAAUAUUGUGUAACUAAUAACACAUUAUUGUAGUUACAGCUACUUUUACUACAUUCCUUUUUUUUUUUACUUUUAAACUACAGUUCUAAUGAAUUAUGCACCGCUUCCAUAUAAGAGAAUCUAACUUGGCUGUAUACUUACCAUCACCAAUAAGAUUUACGUACCUUUUUACGUUUUUAUGAUGUUACUGAAAGUUUGGUCUCUGAUCCCGAUGCCAAUCCAAGUAAAGAGAACUGAGUCUUGGGAGAAAAAGGAAAGGCUUUACUUUGCCAGGCAGAGGGAGCAAAGCAAGGGCCAGUGCCCCAAAAGUUGCUGGCUCUCUAUUAAGAAAUGGGUAAGGGUUUUCAUUUGGGGUUUUCGGUAGGGGAGGGGGCCGUGGUCUUCUUGGUCAGCGUUUUCCCAUGGGCCUGUGUCUGGGCUGCUUCCAGGGAGACAGGAUUUUUCAGCUGAGUGUCCUUGGCUGUUUAUCUCCAUGGUAGAAGGCAGACUCUGAGGUCAGGACGCCGAGGAGUGGGCCUGGGAAGCUUUGGUCUCUUGAUAUUCUUUGCACAUUAGUUUCUCUCUAAGAGAACUUCCAGGUCCUGGGAUUAGACACAACUUUGGUGGGAGCCCAGGGUGAGGCCACGUGGGCUUGAACAAUUUCUAACUUGUUUGGCCCUAUAGCUCAGGGAGUCAGAGGCUAAAAAAACAAGCAUUUACAUAUGAGCAUAAUCUAAGACCCAGGGACCUGGGAAUGUGUGUGUUUGGUUUUAACCCACAUGUGCCAGGUUCACCGUAGGGGAACUGAUAUCAGGGCUGAUAUCGACUGAGAACUGGGAACAAUGUCACCCGUUGUGGCCAGGGGAAGCUCAAGGUCAGCGGGCGGCUCCCCUCGCUCCAACAGGGUCUGCCCCUUCUGGGACUCUUAGCAGCAUCUCCUGUGAACAGCUGUCAGCUGUCCUCCUCCCAGGGCACAAAUCAGGAAGACUCCCAUCUAGCCAUCCGAAAGCCACUGUGUCAGUGGCGCCCACCCCAGAGCAACAUGUGCCAGGCCCAUAUUUCUCAGAAAUCUGUCGCUGGCUCAGCUCUGUCCUCUCAGCCCGGAGGACGGGAGUGGACACCACAGGCCCAGACUUCCAAGUCUGUCAGGGGCUCAGCGCCGUCCUCUCAGCCGGAGGACGGGAGUGGACACCACAGGCCCAGACUUCCAAGUCUGUCAGGGGCUCAGCGCCGUCCUCUCGGCCCGGAGGACAGGAGUGGACACCACAGGCCCGAACUUCCAAGUCUGUCAGGGGCUCAGGGGCCAUCCUCUCAGCCCGGAGGACGGGAGUGGACACCACAGGCCCGAACUUCCAAGUGUGUCGCGGCUCAGUGCCGUCCUCUCAGCCCGGAGGACGGGAGUGGACACCACAGGCCCGAACUUCCAAGUCUGUCAGGGGCUCAGGGGCCAUCCACUCAGCCCGGAGGACGGAGCGCGGCCGCCCUUCCUCCCACGCCUCCUCAGGCCCCCGCCUACUGGGCAAGCCGACCCCGCGCAGUUCACCAGUUCAACGACCGCCAGGCUUCUCGGCCUCUGACCGAUGGGCCGUGGGAUCUACUAACGGGAACUGCUGCAAGAGAAACUGAGGCACGCCGAACGCUCUUCUGUUUGUUUGAGUAAAAACGACCCCAUCCGGCAGUGUCACGCGGAGACGCUGGGAUCACCGGCCAACAGGGGCUGGACACAGACUUCUGCCGAGAAGAGGCGACAUGAGGGAAGGAGGCGCGGGCGGCGCUGCCUCUGAGGCCGGGCUGGCUGUCGGCAGGCCGUCCUCGGUUCCCCGCGUUAACCCUGAGGCGCCCGCGGGCCAUCGGCACGGCAGCCACACUCGGAGGGCGCCCGGGAGCUGACGUAAGCACGUAACGCGGACGCGCCAGGCCGCGCUCCCUCGAAGGCCGGCAGGCCGCUGGAAGGUCGAGCGCCCCGCUCUCUAGCCCGCCCCAACUGGGGCCCGGGGGCCGGGCGCGCCUGCACACGGAGGGACAGCGGCUCUCGGACGGGACGGCGGCGCCUACUCACCGUGCCCAGCGCGCCAACCCAACAGGACCAAGUGCCCCCGCGGCGCUGGGGCCUGGCGGCGCCAGGCCGGGCCCCCGAGGCCGGCCUCGUGGAGGGGCGAGGAGCGGGGGCGCUGCCUCGGGAGCUCGCCCGGACGGCCCAGGGCCCGCCGCCCCAGGGGCUCGACUCCAGGCCCGCUGGAGGGCCUCGCCGCGGUGGACUCCGGGCGGGCUGCACCCAGGUGGGGCACAGCAGGACCUGGACCGGAAGCUGGGGCGCGAGGACGGGAGGCGGCCGCUCCGGGAAGGCCGCUAUCCUGAGGCGGCCAAGUGACCGGACGUGGGCCUCGUGCAGGGGUCAGUCGGAGCCUCCCUGGCACAGCAGAGGCCUCGAGGUGUGGGCAGGCGGCGGCUCACCGGAAGCUGGGCCAGAAGCUCCCUCCACAUGCCGCCGGAAUCCCAGCGGCCAAAGGGUGGGGGGCAUGGGAGGUGAUGACUGCUGGCUCUUAAAACUUCCCCACCCCGCCCCCCCACCCCCGCGCCGGAAGUGACGCACGUUACUCUGCUCGCCCCUCAUUGGCCAAGGGAAAUCAUGUGGCCACACCUUCCUUCAAAAGGGCAGCGCGGGCCGCCCAGCGCUCCUGGACCGGGUGGUGGUGAGGGCACCAGCGUCUGCCCACGUGCCUGCCCUGCCUGUUCAGCCUGGUGGGAAUCCCCGUCCAGGAGUGCAAGCCGGUGGGAACCAACUGCCUGCUCGAUUUACUUCAUCCUUGAAGUGCUGCCCGAUGGUAAAAGAUGAUCCUGACUAAAAUUACCAAGAGAAUAUUGAAAUAGGGGAAACCCACAGCAGCCCUCGAAACCAGGAAAGAACCAGUAGUCUGCCAGGAUUUCAAGGAACCCUGAUGGAGAGCAGAGGGAAGCAAACUAAAGGAAAGCCCUAUGAGCCACCAACUGGCCAUUUCUCACCCAUUCACUGAGAGCAUCCAGCACUUUUCCAG